UAAUAUAAUUAGGUUUGGAGUUUGCUGAAAACACCCUAAAGCAAUAGGUGGGCUACAAAGUUUACCCAUCAGAAUUUUUGCCUAACAAAAUAGAAACGAAAAAAUGAAAAAAAAACACAAAACCUAACAUUAUUACCCAGUCAAAUCAGACAGCCUGGGCACAUUAAAAUCUCUCUUUUUCAUGCUGAAUCAUCACAUCUGUUUGGCAGAAAAAAAUUUCCAAAACGUUCUUUCUUCAAUCCUGUUACCAUUUUCAAUUCUCUUUCUUUUUGAAAUUUUCUUCAAUCCAGGUUUCUUAACCAUUCCUCUUCCAUGGCUUCUUCGUUGUAGAUCGACUCAUCUCUAACCAGGUACCUCUUUUCCCCAUUUGCUAAUGUUUCUUUCGCUAUUUUGUGGGCUUGAAAGUUCUCUGAUUUUUGAAUAAACUGAAAAUCUAUUUCUUGAAAUAGCGAACUAUGACUCUUGAUAUCUUUGAUAACUACUCCAAUGAUCGAUUUAUCCAUCUCUGCCGAUUGACAUUUUUUAAUGACUGUCUUCGAAUCUCCCCUUAUUGUGACUGAUCGGGGGCCCAGUGAAAUACCCAGCUUGAUUGCUUGUAAACAAGCGAAUGCCUCUGCAAGAAAUGGGGAUGAGACAUUGGAAUGAAGGGUUGUUUUUAAGACUCUUUAUCUCUCCCCUCCAGUUUCGUACAAUGACCCCCGACGCUGAUCUGGACCUGUUUGCAUCAAAAGCUGCAUCAAAUUGUAUUGUGUCCUCCAUUUUCUCCUCCAUAUGUCUCUGUAUUCUGGCAGUCUUCAAGGUACGUCUUUCCUUACCCACUCCUUCAAGUUCUGCUAUAUAGCUCUCUACUUUCUGUGUAAGGUCCCUUCCUGAUGUGUUUUUUCUCAUGUACCAUUUGAUUUCGUGAGCUCCAUAUGAUCCAUAGCGCAACAAAACAUCUGACACUGUUCCUUAGUUUCUUUUGCAAAUACCCAUGUAAGCCAUGUUCUGGUAUUUUGAUCUGAAUAUGAUGUAACCCAAUCCAUGUUAAUAUUCUGCCAAACUUCAGUAAUUGUAGGGCAUUGCUGGAAUACAUGGAAGCUGUCCUCUUCCUCGGAGCCACAACGAGGGCAUCUCAUGUUUGUGGUUAUUCGCUUGUAUCGUAGGUUGGCUAGUGUAGGAAUAUAAUUCCAGGAUAUCCGCUAGACAAACAGUAGAGUUUUUGAUGGAAGUUGUAAAUCCCAUAACUUUCUAUAGAAUUCUUUAAAAUCUGUCUAUAAUAAGUUAUUAAAAAUCGAAUCAGCUUCUUGUAAUAGUUUAUAGUCACUCCGUACAGAGAACUCUCCGGUCGGUUCACCUUUCCAAACGCGUAAGUCUUCACUGUUCGUUUCUGCAAGUGGUAUCUCCAAAAAUUUUUGAGCUAUAUCUGAUACUAAUAAUGACCUCUGUUUUCCACUUCUUAUUUGUUUCAUCAAUUAAACCUGAUACUAUUUUUAGUUCCCUAUUUUCAUCUCCGUUCUGCCAUGUACUAGGUUCAAUCCUUGGAAUCCACCGAUUUGUCCAGAAGGAAACAUUGUUUCCUCUCCCAACUCUCCAACUUAGCCCCUGAAGGAGGAGUCUCUUUGUUGCCCAGAUGCUCUUCCAGGUAAGAGAAGGUAAAUUCCCUAACUCUGCACUUAAAAAAUCUGAUUGUGGAUAAUACUUUACUUUAAGGACUCUAGCUAAAAGUGAAUUUGGAUAAUUAAAAAGAUGCCACCCCUGUUUGGCUAAUAACACAAUAUUAAGCUGACUGAGAUUACGAAAACCCAAACCUCCCUUUUCUUUUAAACUGCAAAGAUUAUUCCAAGAGCACCAAUGAAUUCCCCCUUUACCAUGACCCUUUUCCCACCAAAAUUUUGCGAUAAUUGCUUCCAUUUCUUCGCAUAAAGUUUUUGGGAGUAAGAAGCAAGCCAUUGAAUAUGCCGGGAUGGCCUGUAAUACAGCUUUGAUGAAAACUUCUUUCCCGCCCUGCGAUAAAAAUCUAGUGCUGCAGUUGUCAAUACGCUGCCUUAGUCUAUCUUUCAAAGCCUGAAAAUAAGCCUUUUUUUUUAUCCUACCAUGGUCUGUAACACCCCUUACUCGAGACCGUUUCCGGAGUCGAGCUCAAGGAAUUACUUUAUUUAACUUAUUAGUUCGGGGCAUAAAAGUUUGCUUUUAAAAUUUAUCUCACUAUCUAUGAUAAAGCUGUCCACUCGCGCAGCAGUCACUAAAUCAUUUAUAACUCGAGCUACGAAACUCAAAAUUUAAAUCUAUAAAUUUUCCUUGAAACUAGACUCAUAUAUAUUCUUACCAUUAAUUUUUUAGAAUUUUUGGUUUAGCCAAUUAGUGUAGUUUAUUAGUUAAAGUCUCCCCUGUUUCACUACUCGAUUGUCCUAGCCUCUUGCCACUAAAAAUAAGUUUUCUCAUUUUGGGAAUUUCAUAUGGUGUUCUCACUUGUUUCUACAAAAAAUAGACUCAAUAAGGAAUCUAGACAUAAAAAUUACAACUCAUUUUUUACAAUUUUUAGUGAUUUUCUAAACUCUGAACAGGGGACUCCAAAAACGGUUCUGACCCUGUCUCACCAAAAUUCGUAUAUCUCAAAAUAUAAAAUUUCUUUUGCUAAAACGUUAUUUUUUCAUGAAAAUAGACUCAACAAAAUUUCAGUAUAUAUAUCAUACACCCUCUAAUUCAUUUUAUACUAUCCUAAGUGAUUUUUCAAAAUCACGUCAUUGCUACUGUUUGAAAUCUGUUUCUUUGCAAAUUAUUACUCUUUCAUGAUUUUUAUGCAUAAUUUAUCACAUAGACAUGUAUAACAACAAACACCUUCAUACUUAACUAUUUUGACAACAAUUCAUCUUUAGAUAUUUACACAUCAUUAUUUAGCAAAAUCGUAAUACAACAUUCAAAAUAAGUAAGUCCAUAUACAUGCCAUAGUUCAAACAUAGUUCAUCACAAAAUACCGAGUCGUUGUGGUUGAUAGUGUGGAUGAUCUCCGACGUCUUUAGGAUCCUCGACUUUGAUUAAUAAUGCUAUAUAAAAAGAAAAUAAACAAAGUAAGAAUAAUGCUUAGUAAAUUUACAAGUAAAUAAAUAGCAACAUUUAACACAAUUAAUAAUACUCAAGUGACAUAAUCUUUAAUUUCCUCUUUACUUACUUCCUUACUCGUUCUCUUGCUUGUUUACUUAGUUAACUCAUAAUUAUGACUUACUUUUCUCUUGCUGAAACGUUGAUUCUCAAUGGGUAACAUAAUAUACUCUUAGCUCUUAUAACUCACUUGAACUUGCCAUUUAUGUUUUUAACUAAACUUUCAUGAACAUAAGUUAUUUACUAGCCUGUUGAGCCACAUUGGAACAAUAAUGAUACUUGGGUCUCUUUCUGAUAAUAACAUGCCAAAACCAUGUCCCAGAUAUAGUCUUACAUGGGAUGUUUCAUGUGCUACCAAUGCCAUGUCCCAGACAUAGUCUUACAUGGGAUGUUUCAUGUGCUACCAAUGCCAUGUCCCAGACAUGAUCUUACGGGGGACCUCUCAUCUCGGUGCCAACGCAAUGUCCCAGACAUGGUCUUAUAUGGGACAUCUCAUCUCGGUGCCAACGUCAUGUCCCAGACAUGGUCUUACAUGAGACCUCUCAUGAUCUCAAGGAUGCCAAUGCCAUGUCCUAUACAUGGUCUUACAUGGGAUCUCUUUACCCAAAUGUCAUGACAUUUGCAUCCAAUACGUUCCUCAUGUUUCAACGGGGCCUUUUAACACUGAUUCUCUGUCAUCUCAUACUUGAGUUAACAUUAGAUAUUUUCAUGAAAUAAAUACAUAAUUGCUGAAAAAUAACAGUAUUAAUAAUAAUUUUUAAAAUAUUGCAUUAAUUUACCGUAAACUUACCUCGAUACCAAAUAUAGUCAAAUCUACCACUUAGUCUUCAAUCUUAUUCUUUCCUUGAUCUAACCUCAAAUUCUAUUCUUUUUGAUCUAUAAUAGCAAAUUUAACUUAUUUAAUACUUACAUUCAUUAAAACAUCCCUCGACUUCAACUUUGGAAAAAUUACAAUUUUUCCCCUAAACUUUUACAUAAUUACAUUUUUCCCCAAAGCUCAGAAAUUAAACUUCAUCUCUUAUUCUUAUGUUUUACAACAUGCUGAACAUUUUUCUCUUCUAUGACAACAUCAAAUUCUUACUCUAAAAUCUACUUAUGAACAUUAGGUAUUUUACCGAUUAUGGAGUUUUACUCGUUUUCGCUUAAAAUCGACUAGCAAAAGUUGUUUAACAUAAUUUUUAACUUCAUAUUAUAUCUUAAAACAUCAAAAUAAACACUUUUCACCUAUGAGUAUUUUUUCAAAUAUAAACCCUAGGUUAAAUUAUUACUAGAAUAAACUAAAUUAAGCUACCGGGAUCGCAAAAAUGUAAAGAACAUUAAAAACGGGGUUUGGAAUCACUUACUAUGAGCUUGAGAAAGUGUGAAAACCCUAGCUAUGGUGUCCAAAUUUUGGCAGCAAGCUUUUUUGGAGAAGAUGAUAUUUUUGCCAUCUUUUUCCCUUUUUAUUCUUUUUAUUAUUCAAUGACUAAAAUGCCCUUCAUUAAAACUUUAGUUAUUUUUAUCUAUGCAUGUCUAUUUUUUUCCAUGGAAAUUUUAUGGUCUAAUUGCUAUUUAAGGACCUCUUCUUUGAUUAUGCACUUCAAAUAAAUCCUUUAUCAUCUAAAACUCAUAUUUACCCACUUUUGCAGUUAAGUCCAAAUAGGCAAUUUAGGCAUGCAAUCAAUAAAAUUUCUUAUCAAUACUCUAGUACUUAUAUCUAAUUACUAGAUAAAUCAUAAAAAUUAAUAAUAAUUUUAUCUUUAAAUUGGAUUUGUGGUUACGAAACUACUAUUCUGAUAACCUUAAAUUUGGGCCAUUACAUGGUCGGCAAACCUAGAUAACAUUCUGGUUCAUUUGAGCUUCGGAUUCCUAGCAAGUUUACCACCUGACUUCUUUCUUCUGCCAUCGUAUUUUUGCUGGAAAAAUAGUUGAUUUGUCCAUAUUCACACACUGUCCUGAACCUCUUUUAUACUCACUUUUGAUUUCCUUGAUUGUAUUAUCCCCUCUACAUGUUGCCUCCCCAAAAAGAAUGCAAUCAUCUGCAAAUAAUAAAUGUGAUACCUGUGGUCCUCUUCUGCUUACUUUGACACCCUUCAAAAAACCUUCAUUUGUUGCUUUUCUCAUAAGACUGGAAAGGCCUUCCCCACAUAUUAAGAAAAGAAAUGGACUCAAAAGAUCACCUUGUCGAAGUCCCCUCGAUGGACUGAAUGUCACCCCGACAUUUCCAUUUACCACAACCUUGUAAGAAACAAUAGUCAUGCAUUUCAUAAUAGUAUCAAUCCAACUUCGAGCGAAACCCAUUCGACACAUUAUUUCUUUAAUAAAAUUCUAUUCAACUCUAUCAUAAGCUUUACUCAUGUCCAAUUUUACAGCCACAUAGCCCUUUUUCCCCACUCUUUUCUGUUUUAGGGAACGCAAUAUCUCGUAAGCAAGCAAAAUAUUAUCCGAGAUUAAUCUUCCUGGCACAAAGGCACUUUGUGCACUAUCAAUGCAUUUAUCAAUCACUCCUCUAAAUCUGUUCGCUAUAACUUUUGCCAUUAUUUUAUAAAUGACAUUGCAUAAACUAAAAGGCCUAAAAUGUGUCAUAUUAGCCGGGUUAUUAAUUCUUUGAAUGAGCACAAUAUGAGUUGUAUUAAUUGAACUAACCUCCAUAUCUUCAUUCAAGAGUUGUAGACAGAAGGAAACUACAUCAUCUCCAAUAAAAUGCCAAUACUUCUGAUAAAAUAAAGCUGGGAAUCCAUCUUCGCCUGGUGCCUUAGUGGGUGCCAUCUCGAACAAAGCCUCGCGGAUUUCUUCUCAUGUAUAUUGCACAGUCAGCUUUUUAUUUUCCUCUUUAUAGAUACAUCAACCAAUACCCGAGAGUAAAUAGUCGAGAUUCUCUUGAUUCUCUGAAGCAAAUAAAUUCUGGAAGUAGGACCUUGCUAUUUCUUCCAUUUCCUGGGGAUCUCCCGUAUCCCUUCCAUGUGCAUUUUGUAACCUCCUGAUCUUGUUUUUCCUCUGUCUUUGGGUUGUCUGGCUAUGGAAAAAAGCUGUAUUUUUGUCACCUAAUUUUAACCAAGUCAAUCGAGCCCUUUCCUCCUUAUAUCUUUCCUCCUUCUCAAACUCCAUAUUUAGUUGAAUCUUCGUAUCGAUCAUCUCCGCCAUGUUAAUGUCGUCCCUGUCAGCAUUGAGCAGCUCAGAUAGCUUUGUUGUUAAAAAUCUCUUUUCCAUUUUUCUUGUUUCGUAUUUUCCCAGCCCAAUUUUCAAGCCCUUUAUUUAGGAUUUUCAUUUUCUACAAAAAAUUACCUAGUGUCAUCUUCCACAGCUGCUAGCUUAAGCAACAAAUGAGUCCUCCAAAAACCACCAGUUUUCAAUUUUGAAUAUAUUCCCAUUUUGUCGUCUUGUUUCCUUUUUAGUAUCAAUUAAAAUGGGACAAUGAUCAGAAAAAGAAUGAACCAAAUGUUGAGCUUUAACGUCAGAAAAUAAUGAAAUCCAUUCCUUAUUUGCCACCCCCUAUCCAACCGUUAUCGUAUAUUUUUUUGGGAGAUUACCUCUUUCCCAUGUGAACCAUUUGCCCGAAUAACCCACAUCAUUCAAUUGACAAAACUCCAGCGCUUUUCGAAACAUUUCCAUCUGUCUUUCAUCACGGGGCAAGCCUCCCUUCUUCUCAAAACCAUACAUGACUUUAUUGAAAUCUCCACAUACUAACCAUGGUAUAUUAUCUCCAUUAGAGAGAUUUUUGAGAACAGCCCAUGAAUCUUCUUUAUCUUGUGCGUACAGGGUACCAUAGAAACCUGUAAAAAGCCACAUAACCUCCCUCUCAUUGUCAUGGACUAUCGCGUCAAUAUGCCUUUUAGAGAAAUUUUUUAAAGAAAUAUUAACGCCAUUCUUCCAUGCCAAACAUAGCCCUUCUCUAGUUCCCUCUACGUCCACCUCAAUGCCAUUCACAAAACCACAUCUCUGUCAAACUCUUUCCAUCUGUUUUCCGUAAAGUUUAGUCUCCAUAAAGAAGACUAUGUGGGGAUCACAAGUCUUCAGCAAGUGCCGAAGUCUUCUAACUGUCCGUGGACUCCCCAAUCCACGAAAAUUCCGACUUAUUAUUUUCAUAAUGCCCGGUCGGCUUGCCUCUUGGCAGCCGCCGAUGACAAAUGAUUAAGAUCCAUUAAUCUCCUAUUUCUUGCCGGGGAAUUUAACUCCUCAGUCUUUGAUAAGUCGUUACUCUCCCUUCUAGAUCUUUUUUUACCUUCUUCUCCUACUAAGGCUACAUCCUCCAAGUCAUGAUCCAUCGCAUGUUGACCAUGGUCUGUCAGUGAGCUAACCUGCUUUGCAUAAUCAAAUAGUAAGCCACCUUCCAGAUUAAUACUGAGAACUGGUUCAAUAGCCUUCCCAAAACUCUUCCUGUGCUCCAUUUUCUGUGGUCCAUUCAUAAAUCUCAUGUUUGCCUCCUGAAUCCCGUCUGAACUCCCCUCCCCUUCCUCUCGUAGCCAGACAAUAUUCAUAGUCAGAGCUCUUCGGGAUUGUGCUUUUAUUGAUAAAUCCCACCCCAUUUCAGCUAUUUUCACUCCAGUCAUCGUUUUUGCCUUACAAAACGAGUCAUUAUGGCCUAGUUUUCCAUAAUAGAAGCAGAAAAGAGUCAAUCUUUCAUAUUUAAAACAGAUAUAUGAUCGUCUCCCACAGAAUUCGAUCAACUUAGACCCUAACCCUCAUAAAGUUUCUAUUUUCUUUCCAUAAAUUUGACACAUCAUAUUCCAUAAAAUACCCCAAAAAAUUCCCUAGAUUCACUGCUAAAUUUUUAGAAAACAAACCAAUGGGCACUUUAUGUAUCUGAACCCAGAAAGGGGUUAGCACUAAAGGGACCUGCAACGAAUCCUCCCCCCACCACAGUCUAUAAAAUAUCAAUAGAUGAUUAUUGAAGGUCCAUGGGGAGCCUUUCAAAACCCUCUCCAUAUCCAUAGAAUGAAAAAAUUAGAACAAAAACCUUUUUCCCCCCAAAUCCCGAAUGCAAACUCCUCGAACAGGAUGCCAUAGUACUUUUCAUGGCUGGAAAGUGAAUUAUACUCGUUGUAAGAAAACACCCCACUAAUUGAAAAAACUAUUCACUUCUUUCCGUACCUAGAUUUUUUUGAAUUUUAAUAACAUCUUUCUCUUCGUUGAUCGAUAAUUGGGCUAAUUCAUUCUCUAUAAUUUUUAGGGACACAACGCCGUAAGCCAAAAAGAAAGACAGAAGAACAAAAAACCUAAAAUUUUGCCAAAGGCAGUAGACACAAACGUGCUAGGCGUUGCUGAAUUAAAAGAACUUACAUCAACAAGAAUAAUCACAAAUGGAAAUGAGCUUUUCGACAGAAUAUGAAACUAAUUAUUCAAGCUCAAUAAAAAAAUAUGUUUUUGUUCUUUUUUUUCUUUUCGAUUUAUUUUUUUUUUGAGAAAUAAGAAAUAAAAUUCAACAAUUUCAAAAAAAAAUGAAACAUAGUUAGGCAACUAACCAAAUCAAAUCUUGACAAAAAGGGGAGUCAAUAAAAACAACAAUUAAGGUGGUUAAAUGGGUUAAAUCUUAAGUGUCUCUAUAAUGUCAAUAUAUUAAAUCAAUAAUGUGGUCUAGAUAUGUAUAAUAUAAGCAAGUUCUAGAAUAACAAAUGAAGUUGACAUACUUUCAACCAAAAAUAAAAUGAUCACGAAUAAAUAUAUGCUCUAUAGGCUCAAAGGCUCACAAAAAAUUAAGGUUUUGAUGUCAAACUUGCAAUUUCAGAGUUUGAAGAUAAUAAUUCAAUUCAGGAAGGCAACCUAAAAUAUUUAUUUCUUAAAAAAUAACUUAUCAUGCUUGACUGUCUCGUGCCUUAAAGACACACAAAUUAAUCCAAAACAAUAUCAAUAAAAAUUUCAAAUAAAAAAAUUCACUCUAAUGGAUAACCUCCUCAGACUUAAGAUAUACAUUGUCCUUAAUGUGCAAAUAGAUGUAAGCACAGAAUAAGACAAUAUCAAAAGAGAGGGAGAACUGAAACUGCCUUGAAUAUGGAUGAAUUCGCCAUAAUAGUGAAAACUGGAAUCGUAAGCGAGUUUAAAUGAAAUGCAUGUUUCUGAGCAAACUAAUAAGAAAAUGAACAAAAAUAAAUAAGAAGGUAAAGAGAUUACAAACUCGAACAAAAAAACCAUCAAAAUAAUAAAAAUAACAACAUAGUUUAAAAUAGAAAUAAAAUAAAUUAGUAUCACAAAAAAUACAACAAUUAAAAAUAAAAGCACAAUUGAAAAUAAAACAAAUAAAGCAAAUAAAAUGAAAAAAUCAGUGAUCGUCGUCGUGAGAGGCGUCAGGAUCGCGCGGAACAUAAGCAGAAUGAGAGAUAUGGAGGUGUUGGUGAAUCGAUGCAAGGUCGCGUAAAUGUUUGUUGAACAGUGCUAACUGUUACUUGACGUACUCAUAAUGUAACCGCUCGAGGUGAUUUAGCCGAUGUGAAAUAUCGUCGAGUGUGACUGAAUGUGCAGGUGUGGUAGUAGAAGGGCUUGGAGAAGUGGGAAUGGGUCGCAGUGCUGGGGGGAGAUCAUUGUUAAGGUGCUCAUUAUCCUUGUGCUAUUAAGUCGCUCGUAGCAACACAUACUGAUCACCGAAAGGCCCAGACUAACGAGCGAUCAUCCUCAUGUGUUUCAUAAUAUUUAAACCUUGUGGUGUCAUGUCCCCAACCAAAGUAAGAGUACUAAUCUGUUCUCGAGUCUCGAUAAGACUGAAGAGACUAGUCAAGAGUGUGAUAUAUAGACCCAUACAAAGAGGUCCUCUCCGUGACCUCUCACCCUGAUUACAACAACACUGAGCUACGAAGUGGGAUAGAUCAAUCAGAUGUUGUCUGUGCAUGCUCUAUAAGAAAUGUGCAUCUAAAGUGCCCAUGACGCUUGUAACGACCCAUUUUCAGUGGUGUUAGAAAUAGUGAUUUUGGGACCACAAUUCUGACGAGUGAAUUAUUAUUUUAUCAUUUAUUUAAUGUUUAUUGGAUUAUAUUAAUGUCGUAUUAAAAUUUUGUUAAGAAAUUUUGAUGUUUAAAUGGUUAAUUAGGUGAAAAGGACUAAACCGUAAAAAGUGUAAAAGUUGAGAGUUCUAUUAGUUAAAGUGGUCCAAUGACUAUGAAAUCAAAAAACUAAAAGGAUUGAUUGGUAAAUAUACCAUUUAAAGUGUCAAUAGAUGUGCAUGGACAAGGUUUUAAUGAAAUUUUGAUAGUUUUUAAAGGUUAAAAUGACAAUUGAAUAAUUAACUUAAAAACAAAACAAAUUAAAAAUGGUAUCAUCUUCAUCCUUGGCUAUCUCCACCAAAAUUUGAAGAGAAAAACAUGAUUAGGAUAGGGUUGAGAAUUCGAUCAAGUUUCUACUUGUAUGUAAGUGAAUUCAAGCUCCGUUUUUAAUAAUUUUUGUGUUUUUAGUUCAUUUUAGUUUAAUCUAGCUAGCCCGGGGGUUAAUUUGCAAAGCUAUUAAUGGUUGAAAGACUUUUCAUGGAUAUUUUUGAAUAUGUUUUGACGUUUUUUGAUGGAUUAUUUAUCUUUAUUGUAAAAUAAACAUGUUUGUUAAGUGAUUUUUAUUGAAUUUUAGAAAUAUGGAUUAGAUUGUUAAAAGUAUAAAUCCAUGGGUUUUGUUGUGAAAUGUUGGUAAUAAUGGGUUGUUUCAAGGUCUCUUUGAACAUUGGUUAAGUUGGAUUUAGGUUAAAAUGAUUAGAGUUUAAGUUAUGAGCUUGAGGACUAAAUUGUGAAAAGUCAAAGUAUUAGGGUAAAUUUUGUAAUUCUUCAUAAAUAUUAAUUAUGGAUUAAAUUUAAUUCUAGAAGUACUUAAUUGAAUGAAAUUAUUUAUUUAGAUCAAGAUAAACCACAAUCAUACUUAAAUUGAAGAAAAGCUAAAGCUUCGGAUUAGUGUUCGAUUAUACUUUUACGCCCUAGUUAUCGAGGUAAGUUCGUAUGAACUAUGAUCGUUUUAAUGUUAGUUAAAUUGACUAUUUGAUGUGUUGUUUUAAUAUAAAUGAAUCUAUGUAUAAAUGUAUCUAAGUUAUGAUGAUUUGACAGAUAACGAGUCUUGUUUGAACCUUAAGAAUUCUUAGGAUACAAAUGACAUGUCAUUUGGGAUUUCAUGUUUCGGGUGUUGGUUUUGAAUGUCCUAUCGAUGACCGAGGUCCUGUAUUUGUUGCGAGUUUUUCAUAGCUCGUGUGGGCAGCAUCGUGUAGCUAACAUUCUGACCCAUAACUCAUGUGAGCAGACCUAUUUCAUAGCUCGUGUGAGCAUUAAUGUAAAGGAAAUGUUACGGUUAUAUGGAAAGGCACACUACGUGUGAGCAUUCCUGAGUAUCUGAUGUAAUUUUAGAUGGUUCAAUGGGUAAGAAAAGGAAAUGAAAUGGUAAGUAUGCAAAUGGAAUGAAUCAUGAUUUUAUAAUGACAUUGAUGAGUUAAAUGAUGUGUUUAUAUAUGGUAAACUACAUAUCUUAUGGUUGAUUUCAUUUGUAUCAUGAACAAGUAUACUAACUUGUUAGUUUGAUGAUGUUGUAUAGGCUUUUACUAAGCUUAUGGCAUUGGUAAUGAUUUAUGCUUAAUCUAUGAAUUGUAUAAAUGAAAUGGUAAGUUAUGCUAAGUUUUUACGAGCUUACUAAGCACUCGUUGCUUACAUAGUUACUUUCUUUUGUUUUAUAGAUUAUUUAAAGCUCGAUCGGUUGGAAGUUAAUCGAAGACCUAUCACACUAUCCAACAAUCAUUUCAAUAGUUUUUUUUUGUGUGUAUUUUGGCCAAGGUUAAUAAUGACAUGUAUAAGAUCUUUGUAAUGUAAGUUUUGGUAUGUUUAAGCUUUUGCAGUUAUGUUGGUUUGGUGCACUUUGAUAUCUUACCAAGUUAUGUCAUAUUGGUCACUUAAGUGCUUUUAAACAAAGUUCUUUUGGUAUGUUUUGAUGGCUUGAAAAUGGCCAUAUGUGGUAGUUAAUUGAACUAGGUUAUUAUGCUUGGGAAUAUACAAUAUUGACUUGUUUUGGUAAGUGAUGUUUUGAUAUAUUUGUGGUGCCUUUGAGUGGCAUAUUGGUUAGAUGAAUUAGGGUGUUUGAAAAGGCAUGUUUUUGUGUAUUUGAAUGAAGUUUAAAUUCCUUGAAUGUAUGCCCAAAUGGUUUGAAUGGUUAGGUAUGAAUUGGACUUGAAAUGGCUUGAUUUUAGGUUAAAUUUUGGGUUCACAUGGCCUGGGACACGGGCUGUCACAUGGCCGUGUGACACACACAGCCUGGCGACACGGUCGUGUGUCAUUUCAAAUUUUUUAGUGAUUCAAGUCAGUGAGUUACACGGCCUGACACACAGGCGUGUGUGGCAACUCAGAGAGUUAUACGACCAUGUGACCCUUCUCAGUGAGUUACACGGGUGAGGAAACAUGCUAGGACACCGUCGUGUGUCCUUUGUUCGAAUGUGUCACGGCUUGGCCACACGACUGUGUGACCCCCGUUUUCAUAUUUUUGCAUCUUUUUCUUAAAAUUUCUAUUUUGUUUCGAUUCAGUCCUGAAUUGUUUCUAAGCUAUUUUUAGGGCCUCGAAGGCUCGAUUUAGGGAUAAAAUGCAUAUGAAUGAUUGGUUUACAAUAAAUUUAAUUUAUUUUAUAUUAUAGUGUUAAAUGAUUUUCGGUUGAAAGGUAAUGCUCUGUAACCCUAAUCUAGCGACGGAGACGAGUUGGGGUGUUUCAAUGCUUGUACUAUUCUUUCGUCUAGUUAAAGUAUGAACUAGAAUGACAUGAAUAUAUUACAAGGUUGGAGGGAGGCACUUAGCCUUAGACUGGCUCGGGUUGCACGGAAUGACAGCCUCAGAGAUUUCUGACGAACAUAGAAAGAUCGAUUAAUGGAUGUGUUGUGGGACGGAUGAGAGCUCGGUCACUACUAAGAAAUCAUUAGAAUAUAGGCUGAGAGUGACAGCAAAAAUUGCAAUACUAAAGUGUUGAGUGAUACCCUCAAGACAGAAUGAUAUAGCUCGUGGGUCAUCCCCCGAGAAUAAUACAGUCGGUAGGAAGAAUGUGGAGAAAAACUUGAAUGUAAGCUCAACAUAUGUCGACUCCACGAUCGUGAAGAAUCGAUCCCAUGGGGUUGCGAUUAAAAGAGAAUGAAUCGGUGUGAAUAAGUCCACAAUAUGGAAGGCAUCCCAAUCUACACGUCUACCCACGCCCAAUGCUCUAUCCUUAAGAUUCUGGCACUCUCCACAUAGGGUGGAUGGUCGAAGGUGAGGUAUUGGUAACGAGUGGUUGUUAUCGGAGAGGAUGAAGAUGAGGUCCAUGUGGCUUUUCUUUUAUUAGAAUAAGUGGGGACCCCACUUUUUCCUCGUCGGUUUUGCAUUUUGUAUCUGAAAUAAAAUAUAAUAACCAAAUAUCAGAUAACCAAAAAUCAAAACCACAAAAAAUAAAUCUAGCAAAUAGACAAAUCAACAUACGAAAUAAAACAUAUCGGCAAGCGAACUACCUCACGAUAAAAGUCAAAUCACAACGAGUCUAACCGAAAUCUACUUCGAAUACAAAACUUGAGCUAAUACUAAUACUAUUGAGGCAAAAAAAAAUUAAACUAACCAACUAAAACUAAUAAUAAUAGAAUAAUAAAAUAAUAACAAUAAUACUAAUACUAAACAAAAUAAACAUAUUAAUAAUAGUAGGAGUAAUAAUAAUUAAAAUAAUAAGAAAAUAAAUAAAAACAAAAAUAAUAAAAAUUAAAUAAAAUGAAAUGAAAGAAUAGGGUUGAGCCAAACGGUGGUAACAGCAAUGGUUGGUGGCGAUGGUGAAUGGAGGCGCGGUGGUAGAAGCGAGUGAGGACGUGGGAGAGGGCUGAUGGUGGUAAUGCACAGGUGAAGAGGGUUAGAACAGAGGGAAAAAAACCAGACGGUAGAGGAAAUGGCAUGAUUGACGGUGGGGGAAGGAAAUGGAAAAAGAGAAGCGCGGGAAGGAAAGGAAACGACAUGAUCGACGGUAGAGGACGUGUGUCUAGCCAAUGUGGAAUGGCCCAGCUUGUGUGGCUCUGAAAGAUUCCUCCGAUUUUUUGAUUUUCGCUCCUUUUGCUUCCAAAUGCUCUCCUAAGUAUAAAAACAUGAAUAUAUAGGAUUAGGGGCAUAAAAUUCACCAUUUUAAAUCGAAUAAUGAUCCAAAACUGCAUUAAGAAUAAGGCUAAAACAUGUUACUUUUGGCAUUUAUCAAUAGGAAAUGGGUUGGUUUGAAAAUAAAUGGAUUGCUUGUCGUAGAAUAUUAUUCUCGGCAUAACUCAAAAUAUAAAAUUUUAAAAAUUAUAUUUAAUACAAUAAAACAUUUAUUAUAUUUAUGGUAGUAUUUUUUAAUGUGGUAUGAAACUCUUAGUUGAUGAAACGUGUUUAGUGGUAGAUUGAAUAGCCUAUUAGAUCAUUAAUUCUGAAGCCAUUAAUCAUAUUUGUGUUUAUUGCAGGGGUUCAAGUAAAUGAGAAGCCUUCGUGAGAAGGAUCUCUCGUUGCAAACUAGAGAUGGGCGAAAUGUAGAGGCAAAAGUAGUGGGAGAAGUACAUUUGUAUUUUGAUAAUUUUAGGAAGAUCAUUUUAAAAAACAUUUUUUAUCUACCUAGUUUUAGGAGAAAUUUAAUUUCUGUUGCAUGUUUAUUUCAAAACAAUUUUUUUUUUACUUUUAAUAAAGGGAUUGCAAUUCAUAAAAA
rnacentral:lncRNA from 1 species